ACCCCACCGUUUCCUCUCCCAUCAGAUCUAAACAUUGCUCUGAGUGGUUACAAAAGGAGGUCAAGUAACAUGGAAACUUCAAUACUCUUGAAACACAUGGGCCGGUUUAAAACAGGU
rnacentral:snoRNA from 1 species